rnacentral:rRNA from 1 species
CCUANGGGUGGCUGCAGUCGCGAAUAUUCCCCAAUGGGCGAAAGCCUGAGGGAGCGACGCCGCGUGUAGGAUGAAGGUUUUCGGAUCGUAAACUACUUUUCCAUGGGACGAAGCUUCGGCUGACGGUACCAUGGGAAUAAGAGGUUGCUAACUCUGUGCCAGCAGCAGCGGUAAUACAGAGACCUCAAGCGUUGUCCGGAUUUAUUGGGCGUAAAGCGUCCGCAGAUGGUGCGUCAAGUCUUACGUUAAAUCUUUGGGCUCAACCCAAAGGCCGCGCAAGAAACUGACGGACUCGAGGAUGGGAGAGGUGAGCGGAAUUACCGGUGUAGUAGUAAAAUGCGUUAAUAUCGGUAAGAACACCAAAGGCGAAGGCAGCUCACUGGAACAUUCCUGACAUUAAGGGACGAAAGCACGGGGAGCGAAGCGGAUUAGAUACCCCANUANUC